GUGUUUGCUUUGGCAGGGCACGUAAAAAUAAUUGGAAUGACAGAGAUUACCACGACCCCUGCACAAAGGUGACAACCAAAUUCAUGAUGGUCCCAUAUUUAU
rnacentral:snRNA from 10 species